UUUUGGGGGGAAAAAGGGGGGGGGGGGAUAAAAAGAAAUUGUGGGUGGCCAAUUUUUUCUCAUUUCAGAUUUCAGAAAUUAAAAAGAAUUAUUCUUCAAAUAUUAUUUUUUUUUCAAAUUUCAAAUAUUGAAAAAUUUCAAGAAGUAAUCUUUAAUUGCACAGUAUGGCGCAUUAGAUUUGUAAAAUCUUUGAUCACAUUUAUUUAUUUGUUAUGCCGAAUCUAACAGUGUAUUUAGAUUUUUAAUUUUGGGUCCAGUUUUCAAAUUGGUCUACAUUAAUGUCCAAAGGGUCCAAAAUUAAACUUUGUUUGAUUUUAGCAAAAAUUGAAUAUAUGAGGUUCUUUGAUAUGCUGAAUCUAAACAUGUAUUUAGAUUUUUGAUUUUUGGCCCAGUUUUCAAGUUGGUCCAAAUUGGGGUCCAAAAUUAAACUUUGUUUGAUUUCAACAAAAAUUGAAUAUAUGGGGUCCUUUGAUAUGCUGAAUCUAACCAUGUAUUUAGAUUUUUUAUUUGUGGACCCCGUUAUCUAAUUGGUUCAUAUUGAGGUCAAAAGGGUCCAAAAUUAAACUUUGUUUGAUUUCAUCUAAAAUUGAAUUAUUGGGGUUCUUUGAUAUUCCAAAUCUAACCGUGUAUUUAGAUUUUUUAUUUUAAGUCCCGUUUUUUAAAUUGGUCUACAUUAAGGUCCAAAGGGUCCAAAAUUAAACUUAGUUUGAUUUUAGCAAAAAUUGAAUUCUUGGGGUUCUUUGAUAUGCUGAAUCUAAACAUGUGUUUAGAUUUUUGAUUAUGGGCCCAGUUUUCAAGGUUGUCCAAGUUGGGGUCCAAAAUUAAACUUUUUGUUUGAUUUUAACAAAAAUUGAAUAUAUGGGGUUCUUUGAUAUGCUGAACCUAACCAUGUAUU